rnacentral:tRNA from 1 species
GCCCGGAUGGCGAAAUGGCAGACGCAACAGACUUAAAAUCUGUUAUCCAUUGGGUGUGCGGGUUCGAGUCCCGCUCCGGGCACCA